GACGAACGCUGGCGGCGUGCCUAAUACAUGCAAGUAGAACGCUGAAGAGAGGAGCUUGCUCUUCUUGGAUGAGUUGCGAACGGGUGAGUAACGCGUAGGUAACCUGCCUUGUAGCGGGGGAUAACUAUUGGAAACGAUAGCUAAUACCGCAUAACAAUGGAUGACACAUGUCAUUUAUUUGAAAGGGGCAAUUGCUCCACUGCAAGAUGGACCUGCGUUGUAUUAGCUAGUAGGUGAGGUAAUGGCUCACCUAGGCGACGAUACAUAGCCGACCUGAGAGGGUGAUCGGCCACACUGGGACUGAGACACGGCCCAGACUCCUACGGGAGGCAGCAGUAGGGAAUCUUCGGCAAUGGGGGCAACCCUGACCGAGCAACGCCGCGUGAGUGAAGAAGGUUUUCGGAUCGUAAAGCUCUGUUGUAAGUCAAGAACGGGUGUGAGAGUGGAAAGUUCACACUGUGACGGUAGCUUACCAGAAAAGGACGGCUAACUACGU
rnacentral:rRNA from 1 species